rnacentral:rRNA from 1 species
GAUGAACGCUGGCGGCGUGCCUAAUACAUGCAAGUCGAGCGAACGGACGAGAAGCUUGCUUUUCUGAUGUUAGCGGCGGACGGGUGAGUAACACGUGGAUAACCUGCCUAUAAGACUGGGAUAACUUCGGGAAACCGGAGCUAAUACCGGAUAAUAUUUUGAACCGCAUGGUUCAAAAGUGAAAGACGGUCUUGCUGUCACUUAUAGAUGGAUCCGCGCUGCAUUAGCUAGUUGGUAAGGUAACGGCUUACCAAGGCAACGAUGCAUAGCCGACCUGAGAGGGUGAUCGGCCACACUGGAACUGAGACACGGUCCAGACUCCUACGGGAGGCAGCAGUAGGGAAUCUUCCGCAAUGGGCGAAAGCCUGACGGAGCAACGCCGCGUGAGUGAUGAAGGUCUUCGGAUCGUAAAACUCUGUUAUUAGGGAAGAACAUAUGUGUAAGUAACUGUGCACGUCUUGACGGUACCUAAUCAGAAAGCCACGGCUAACUACGUG